ACAAAGGAGAGUUUGAUCCUGGCUCAGGAUGAACGCUAGCGGCAGGCUUAAUACAUGCAAGUCGAACGGGAAUUGGGUAGCAAUACCUGAUGAUAGUGGCGCACGGGUGCGUAACGCGUAUGCAACCUACCUUUAACAGGGGGAUAGCCCGGAGAAAUUCGGAUUAAUACCCCAUAGUAUUAUGGAGAGGCAUCUUUUCAUGAUUAAAGUUCCGGCGGUUAAAGAUGGGCAUGCGUGCCAUUAGCUAGUUGGUGAGGUAACGGCUCACCAAGGCGACGAUGGUUAGGGGUCCUGAGAGGGUUAUCCCCCACACUGGUACUGAGACACGGACCAGACUCCUACGGGAGGCAGCAGUAAGGAAUAUUGGUCAAUGGGCGGAAGCCUGAACCAGCCAUGCCGCGUGCAGGAAGACGGCCUUAUGGGUUGUAAACUGCUUUUGUCAGGGAAUAAACCCUCGUUUGCGAACGAGGCUGAAGGUACCUGAAGAAUAAGCAUCGGCUAACUCCGUGCCAGCAGCCGCGGUAAUACGGAGGAUGCGAGCGUUAUCCGGAUUCAUUGGGUUUAAAGGGUGCGCAGGCGGGCGUAUAAGUCAGGGGUGAAAUGCCACGGCUCAACCGUGGAACUGCCUUUGAUACUGUAUGUCUUGAGUUUAGUUGAAGUGGGCGGAAUGUAGCAUGUAGCGGUGAAAUGCAUAGAGAUGCUACAGAACACCGAUAGCGAAGGCAGCUCACUAAGUUAAGACUGACGCUCAUGCACGAAAGCGUGGGGAUCAAACAGGAUUAGAUACCCUGGUAGUCCACGCUGUAAACGAUGAUCACUCGUUGUUGGCGAUAUACCGUCAGCGGCCAAGCGAAAGUGAUAAGUGAUCCACCUGGGGAGUACGAUCGCAAGGUUGAAACUCAAAGGAAUUGACGGGGGCCCGCACAAGCGGUGGAGCAUGUGGUUUAAUUCGAUGAUACGCGAGGAACCUUACCAGGGCUUAAAUGUAGUCUGACAGGAGUGGAAACACUUUUUUCUUCGGACAGAUUACAAGGUGCUGCAUGGUUGUCGUCAGCUCGUGCCGUGAGGUGUCAGGUUAAGUCCUAUAACGAGCGCAACCCCUAUUCUUAGUUGCCAUCAGGUCAAGCUGGGGACUCUAGGAAAACUGCCUAUGCAAGUAGAGAGGAAGGUGGGGAUGACGUCAAAUCAGCACGGCCCUUACGUCCAGGGCUACACACGUGCUACAAUGGCCAGUACAAAGGGCAGCUACCGGGUGACCGGAUGCUAAUCUCUAAAGCUGGUCUCAGUUCGGAUCGAAGUCUGCAACCCGACUUCGUGAAGCUGGAAUCGCUAGUAAUCGCGCAUCAGCCAUGGCGCGGUGAAUACGUUCCCGGGCCUUGUACACACCGCCCGUCAAGCCAUGGAAGCUGGGGGUACCUGAAGUCGGUGACCGUAAAAGGAGCUGCCUAGGGUAAACUUGGUAACUGGGGCUAAGUCGUAACAAGGUAGCCGUACCGGAAGGUGUGGCUGGAAUACCUCCUUUCUGGA
rnacentral:rRNA from 1 species